GACGAACGCUGGCGGCGUGCUUAACACAUGCAAGUCGAACGGAAAGGCCCUGCUUUUGUGGGGUGCUCGAGUGGCGAACGGGUGAGUAACACGUGAGUAACCUGCCCUUGACUUUGGGAUAACUUCAGGAAACUGGGGCUAAUACCGGAUAGGAGCUCCUGCUGCAUGGUGGGGGUUGGAAAGUUUCGGCGGUUGGGGAUGGACUCGCGGCUUAUCAGCUUGGUGGUGGGGUAGUGGCUUACCAAGGCUUUGACGGGUAGCCGGCCUGAGAGGGUGACCGGCCACAUUGGGACUGAGAUACGGCCCAGACUCCUACGGGAGGCAGCAGUGGGGAAUAUUGCACAAUGGGCGGAAGCCUGAUGCAGCAACGCCGCGUGCGGGAUGACGGCCUUCGGGUUGUGAACCGCUUUCGCCUGUGACGAAGCGUGAGUGACGGUAAUGGGUAAAGAAGCACCGGCUAACUACGUG
rnacentral:rRNA from 1 species